ensembl:lncRNA DIO3OS DIO3 opposite strand upstream RNA
AGUGGAUUUCAGGAUUCCUCUAAGAAGCUUUGGAAUGCCAGAAGAUACCACAAGUGAGAAGAAAAAAUAAAACAAGAGGAAGGAUAUACUUCCCAUAAGGGGACAAAGUACAGCCGCAGUGUCCUCCGCUUGGGCCAUGGAACAGCUGCAGGUUUUGCCCUGAUUACCCUGGUGGUAAAGUCUGAUUGGCUAUGAUUCCCGGUGUCCAGAAGAUAAACACGGGCGGUGCAGCGGAGCCACACGCAUGCCUGUGCAUGGCCACGCCAGGUCGGAAACCCAGCCCCUCUGCUUGGGAGGCACGCAGGGCUCUGGCUGAAGCCUGAAGCUUGGGAUCCUCAGAGCACAGAUGUCCCAGGGUUGUGUGAAGUUAGUGAGACGAGGUGUACGGAGAGAGCUCGGAGAGGAGAGGGAGUCUCGAUUGCUGUGGCUGUGGCUCGGAGAUGCCUGCAAGAGGUGUCCUACGGGCCUGAUGGAAAGGUGGCAGGCGAAAUGCACCUGGCCUCAGCGUCAGGGGCUGUGAAUGCAGUAGCACUUGUAGCUAUGAGGUCAGAGUGGACUAGGAUGGUCCUUCCACCAAGAAGCCUGGGCCUUCCUGCUCUUCGUUGUCCAGCUGCAGAAACUGAUCUCAUCCCUCAGGGCUUGGCACAACUGCCCCUUCCUCCUCACAUUCCCAAAUAUACCUACCCCUCCCCAACUCAAUCCUCCUCACCAGACUGUGGCUCCAGGAUGACAGGGCAGAGUUGGACUCACCUGUGUCUGCCAGGCCAGCUCACCGUGGGGGCAGGUCCCAAGAGGCCUCUGGAUUUGGACCAACUUCCAGUGUGACCUUGAACAAGGCCUUCGCCUCCCUCAGCCUCCGUUGCAUGAGGGGUUGUGCUGGCACAUCUCAGAGCAGGUAGCGCUACCUGGUGAGUUGAGGGCUCUGUCCAUCAUCUUUGUCACUGUAAUGCUGGGUAACAAAUAAACACGAAACAAUGAGUGCUCGUU